rnacentral:rRNA from 1 species
GGGUUGUGAGGUUAAGCGACUAAGCGUACACGGUGGAUGCCCUGGCAGUCAGAGGCGAUGAAGGGCGUGCUAAUCUGCGAUAAGCGCCGGUAAGGUGAUAUGAACCGUUAUAACCGGCGAUACCCGAAUGGGGAAACCCAGUGUGACUCGUCACACUAUCAUUAACUGAAUCCAUAGGUUAAUGAGGCGAACCGGGGGAACUGAAACAUCUAAGUACCCCGAGGAAAAGAAAUCAACCGAGAUUCCCCCAGUAGCGGCGAGCGAACGGGGAGGAGCCCAGAGCCUGAAUCAGCAUGUGUGUUAGUGGAAGCGUCUGGAAAGGCGCGCGAUACAGGGUGACAGCCCCGUACACAAAAGCGCAUGUGCUGUGAGCUCGAUGAGUAGGGCGGGACACGUGGUAUCCUGUCUGAAUAUGGGGGGACCAUCCUCCAAGGCUAAAUACUCCUGACUGACCGAUAGUGAACCAGUACCGUGAGGGAAAGGCGAAAAGAACCCCGGCGAGGGGAGUGAAAAAGAACCUGAAACCGUGUACGUACAAGCAGUGGGAGCACCCUUUGGGUGUGACUGCGUACCUUUUGUAUAAUGGGUCAGCGACUUAUAUUCUGUAGCAAGGUUAACCGAAUAGGGGAGCCGGAGGGAAACCGAGUCUUAACCGGGCGUUAAGUUGCAGGGUAUAGACCCGAAACCCGGUGAUCUAGCCAUGGGCAGGUUGAAGGUUGGGUAACACUAACUGGAGGACCGAACCGACUAAUGUUGAAAAAUUAGCGGAUGACCUGUGGCUGGGGGUGAAAGGCCAAUCAAACCGGGAGAUAGCUGGUUCUCCCCGAAAGCUAUUUAGGUAGCGCCUCGUGAAUUCAUCUCCGGGGGUAGAGCACUGUUUCGGCUAGGGGGCCAUCCCGGCUUACCAACCCGAUGCAAACUGCGAAUACCGGAGAAUGUUAUCACGGGAGACACACGGCGGGUGCUAACGUCCGUCGUGAAGAGGGAAACAACCCAGACCGCCAGCUAAGGUCCCAAAGUCAUGGUUAAGUGGGAAACGAUGUGGGAAGGCCCAGACAGCCAGGAUGUUGGCUUAGAAGCAGCCAUCAUUUAAAGAAAGCGUAAUAGCUCACUGGUCGAGUCGGCCUGCGCGGAAGAUGUAACGGGGCUAAACCAUGCACCGAAGCUGCG